rnacentral:rRNA from 1 species
GACGAACGCUGGCGGCGUGCUUAACACAUGCAAGUCGAACGGAAAGGCCCUGCUUUUGUGGGGUGCUCGAGUGGCGAACGGGUGAGUAACACGUGAGUAACCUGCCCUUGACUUUGGGAUAACUUCAGGAAACUGGGGCUAUAACGGCGUGGAACCUCUUGCUCCUGGUGGGGGAUGGGAAAGUUCCGGGGUUGGGGGUGUGACUCGGGGCUUAUCCGCUUGUUGGUGGGGUAGUGGCUUCCCAAGGUUUGAACGGGUACCCGGCCUGGGAGGGUGACCGGCCACAUUGGGACUGAGGUACGGCCCAGACUCCUACGGGAGGCAGCAGUGGGGAAUAUUGCACGAUGGGCGGAAGCCUGAUGCAGCAACGCCGCGUGCGGGAUGACGGCCUUCGGGUUGUAAACCGCUUUCGCCUGUGACGAAGCGUGAGUGACGGUAAUGGGUAAAGAAGCACCGGCUAACUACGUG